AUAGAGACUCAGAGCUGCAUAUCAAUAAGCGGAGGAAAAGAAACUAAUAAGGAUUCCCUUAGUAACGGCGAGUGAAGCGGGAAGAGCUCAAAUUUGAAAUCUUCAAGGUUCUACCCUGACGAAUUGUAGUUUAUAGAAGUGUUUUCUGUUAGUAGAGUGGCAAAAGUUCUUUGGAAUAGGACAUCAUAGAGGGUGAGAAUCCCGUAUUUGGUCAUUCUUUCUAGCUUUGUGAUACACUUUCAACGAGUCGGAUUGUUUGGGAAUGCAGUCCAAAAUGGGUGGUAAAUUUCAUCUAAAGCUAAAUAUUGGCGAGAGACCGAUAGCGAACAAGUACCGUGAGGGAAAGAUGAAAAGAACUUUGAAAAGAGAGUUAAACAGUACGUGAAAUUGUCAAAAGGGAAGCGUUUGACACCAGUGUUGUUUUUCCGAAAAUCAAUUACGAAUGUUUUGUUUUUGAGAAGUUAUGACUUCAUCGGCUUGCUUCUCUCUUUACGAAACUUUCUUAAUGCACUUUUCGGUUAACAAGUCAACAUCAAUUUCUUUUGUUGUAAAAGGGUAUGAGGAAGGUGGCUUUCUUUUCGGAGAAAGUGUUUAUAGCCUUGUACCUCUGCAAUCGGAGAGAUUGAGGUCUGCAGCGUAGAUCCUUCGGGGUUAGAUACAUUUGUGCUAAGUUAUAGCUUUUCAUAGACAACUUGUUGACUAUGUUAAGUCUUGUAGCUUACUCGCUUAUGCUAUUUUACCUACGCUUAGGAUGUUGACGAGACUGUCGAUCUC
rnacentral:rRNA from 1 species